AACUAGCGACUUUAAAGAAAAUUUGGUGAAGGUAAUUUUUCAGAAGCUAAUAUUACUAAACGGGAAUGACUGAAUCAAUAAGCGAAAUAAAUUAAACAACUGUUCAUCUUUUUCGAAAUUCCCAUUUAGUACCAAUUCUUUUAGCAAACGAAUUCUAUUAAUUGACUACGAGUUCUAUCUACUGAAGAUAUAGUUUUCUACAUUUGAGCAUGAUUUAAUGCCCGAAUAGAAUUUUGACUAACAAAUAAUUAUCGAGUCAAAGAAAAAACUGAAAUCUAAAUGUUGACCAAUUGUGGUCCACUUUUUUCCCUUUUUUCUGCAAGACAAGUUCCUAUUCCAAGUAAAAUAAGUUUCACUAACUAUUAUAGGUAGCUUAAUCAAGCAGUUUUUUUCUCAGCAGCCUCUGCAAGCCUAGCUUGCUCCAAUGCCUUGGCUUCAAUGUUAAGUUUUGGAAGGAUAAAUACAAGAACAACAGAAGCUAAGGAAAGCAACAUCAUUGGGCUUUUUAAUAAACGUAUCAGGGAAAACUUUCUUGGCUCCUUCAAAUAAUCGCGUUUUAGAACAGCACGGACUUUAAUAGGAUAACUAGUAUUCUUAGCGGUCGAACUAGCUGGACGUUUUUCGGCAGGCGAAGUAUAGUAAGGGUAGACGAUCGACUCAUUGAUUAUGAUGUGAAAUUCGGAGAAUUCAUAGUCUAUACUUUCUAACCGUAAGAAAUAUAUUUCAUCAGGGACAUUGGGAAAUGUAAAACUACCAUCUCUCUCCACUACUGUCUCAAACGUUUUAUUGCUAGAGAUCAAUCUGGCUCUGGUAUCAUAAGACAAUA